rnacentral:sRNA from 1 species
CUCUGCUCUCCUGCCUGCAGGAGAAUGAGAAGUCUCCCAGUCAGAACCGGAAAGCCAAGGACGCCACCUCAGACAACGGCAAAGGUUAGGGUCCCAGCCCAUCCGCCCUGCAGGCCCCCACCCUGCCUUGCCCUGCCUCACUGUGCUUGAUACCCGCAGACGGCCUGGCCUACUCCGCCCUGCUCAAGAAUGAGCUGCUGGGUGCCGGCAUCGAGAAGGUGCAGGACCCGCAGACUGAGGACCGCAGGCUGCAGCCCUCCACGCCUGAGAAGAAGGGUCUGUUCACGUAUUCCCUCAGCACCAAGCGCUCCAGCCCCGAUGAUGGCAACGACGUGUCUCCCUACUCCCUGUCUCCCGUCAGCAACAAGAGCCAGAAGCUGCUCCGGUCCCCACGGAAACCCACCCGCAAGAUCUCCAAGAUCCCCUUCAAGGUGCUGGACGCGCCCGAGCUGCAGGACGACUUCUACCUCAAUCUGGUGGACUGGUCGUCCCUCAACGUGCUCAGCGUGGGGCUGGGCACCUGUGUGUACCUGUGGAGCGCCUGUACCAGCCAGGUGACGCGGCUCUGUGACCUCUCGGUGGAAGGGGACUCAGUGACCUCCGUGGGCUGGUCUGAGCGGGGGAACCUGGUGGCAGUGGGCACACAUAAGGGCUUUGUGCAGAUCUGGGAUGC